CCCUCAUCACUAAAGAAAGUCUCACUUAGCAAACAUGACUUCCUCUGCUAGUAAAUUUUACACCAUCUUUGUUUUUGUCUGCCUUGCCCUUCUCCUUAUUUCCAUAUGUGAGGUGGAAGCAAAAGUGUGUCAAAAACGAAGUAAAACGUGGUCAGGACCUUGUCUUAACACAGGAAACUGUAAAAGACAAUGCGUUGAUGUGGAGAAUGCAACCUUCGGUGCUUGUCACCGUCAAGGCUUUGGUUUUGCUUGCUUCUGCUACAAAAAGUGUUGAUCAUUUUGUUUAUGAUCAAUCAAUUUCCACCGAAAUAUGAUAUUUCAUAAAAGAUAAAUAAGAGUUAAUUUGAAGGAACUAAGUUAGUGUAAAAAAGUUUUACAUGUCAAUAAAUUUACUACUUUUGUCUAUCGCUUUCUUUUUAUUAGUAUAAUUUAAAUAUAAGUGUACCAAGUGACAAAGUAGUAAAUUUUUAUUGCAUAUAGUGUAGAGUUAGUUUACACAUGUUCUAUGCUCCUUCAACUCAUAAAUAAAGGGUGGAAAUGAAAGUUAUUCUAGUGUUUUUUAAUUUGUGUGUUACUAUGGAUUAUUAUAUUACACAUACUGUAUGUUGUUUACGUUUGCGUUUCAAUUUGGUAAAAAAGAAAAUUGUCUUUCAA